CCUACGGGGGGCUGCAGUCGAGAAUCUUCGGCAAUGGGCGCAAGCCUGACCGAGCGACGCCGCGUGCGGGAUGAAGGCCUUCGGGUUGUAAACCGCUGUCGAGGGGAAUGAAGUGCAGGUGGGUUCUCCCAUCUGUUUGACAGAUCCCUGGAGGAAGCAUGGGCUAAGUUCGUGCCAGCAGCCGCGGUAAGACGAACCAUGCGAACCUUAUUGGGAAUCACGUGGCUUAAAGCGUGUGUUAGCGAUCUUGGAAAGCCCUCAGCCCAACUGAGGAAUUGCGCUUGAUACUGCAUGACUAGAGAAUGAUAGAGGUGGGUGGAACAGAUGGUGGAGCGGUGAAAUGCGUUGAUAUCAUCAGGAACACCAGUGGCGAAGGCGACCCACUGGGUCAUUUCUGACGCUGAGGUACGAAAGCUAGGGUAGCGAACGGGAUUAGAUACCCCAGUAGUC
rnacentral:rRNA from 1 species